rnacentral:sRNA from 1 species
CUGACUUUUCAAAGAACACUUAAGUCUCCUCUUCAGUGUCCUCUAGAGUCAUAGAGCUUAUGGAAUGAAUAAGAUAGACAGACAGACAGACGGGCAGACAGACAGACAGACAGACAGACAGACAGACAGAAGGGGCUAUAGUCCAACUAAUUCAACAAUGGCCAGCCAUGAACGGGAAAUAAAUUAUCUUGUUCUUAUGUUGUCAAGUAAUACCUCUACGACACAGAUUCUCCAGGUAGGGCUGACAUGGCUUAGCAGGCAAGAGCAAAGGACCCAGAUUCAGCUUCCAGCACCCACACAGCAGCUCGCAACCAUCUAUAACUCUAAUUCUUUGGGAUUCAACACCGUCUUCUGGCCUUGGCAAGUUAUGCACAAGCAUACGUUCAGACAAAAACAUCCAUACACAUAAAAUAAAAGUAAGAAGAAAAACCUUUAAGAUUCUACAGACACUCAAACUGGUUGACUAGUACUUCCUGAUUGUGGGGAGUUGGAAUGUUGUAGAUCCUCAGCCAGUAUUACCUUUAGUCCCCCUCAGCACCAUUUAUCAUCUACCCUAGUAUCUGCUUUAAUAUCCAUCCACUUGACUGUUAGCUAUAAGUAUAUAAAGAUGGACACUCACUGGGAUUUCUAGAUUCUUAUGUCCCUGAACAAAUGUGAGGACAGAGAUGUAGAUGGCAACAUGGGCAUGAGAUGACAAAGAGAGUUUAUUGACAUUCAUUGGAAAAGAGAAAAGCCAAAUCCCAGAGAGAGAGAUGACACCAUUAAGAGGAAGCAGGACCAUGAAAGUCAAGAAAAUACUUUAUCUUAUGGGCCAUUUGCUCAAAGAUUCAUAUCUAGAUAGGCAGGUAUCUCACUAUCUCAUUAAGUAGUAAAUAGUAUACUACAUGUCUUUUUGACACUAGCCAUGUAGUCAGGGUGCCACAGGUCCUCGGUAGCUAUGCUCCAGAUGCUUGUAUACAGUAAGUCAUGACCUAGUUGAUAAAGUGUGGAAAUUUUGUUUUCAUUCCUGAUCUGUCUCUACAAAAACAUUCCACUAGUCAAGACAAGUCAUGUGGCAAAGCCAGCAUCAAUGGAUCAGGAAUACACCAUCUCUCAUAAUGUCAACAAGGCCACAUGACAGAAUAUUGGAGAUAUAACAUAAUUGGUAGCCAAUCAGGACACGGGGAGGAAAUCAGGACCAGCCAAGCUAACCAGAUGUAGCACUUCACAGCUUGAAUGUGUCACUCAAGCCUGUUGAUUCUGCUCACAUGACGUGUCAGAAUCCCAGACAGUACGUAAGUCUAAUUUUUACUAAUCCCAGACUAUGGCUCCAUUUCCACAAAAUGGACAGGUCAUUUCUGUCUAGAAAGGUCUAGAAAUAUAAAGAAAUCAAAACCCCCUAUUUUAUCUGACCUCUUCCUCAGAGGCAGAAUAUCUUUACUCUAGUCAUUUCCUGUUGCCUCCCUUAGAAAAACAAUUGCUAUUGGUUAUUGUGACAAGUGUUUUAAAAAUUGAAUUGUGUUCAUCUGGUUUAAGAUUUGACUAAUGAGUUUGGAAUCUCACUUUGAGCUAACAUUGUCCAGGCACUUUAAAAAGUCACCUAGAUAACAGAUUGCCUAACAUAAAGAGCUGUGUUUGGUUUCAAGGUAAUUCUAGUUCAUCUGGUGGUUUAUUAGCUGUGAUCAAAUCUGGCUGAAAGUGUCCAGAAGGACAGAGAAAGGGCGGAAAAUCAAAGACCUCACCUUGCCUACAUCUACACAGCCAAGACUGCCACAAAACAAGAGACAGAGUCUGCAUUAAAGCAGACACAAGAUAUAGACAUAAGUUGCCUGUUCUGCACCCAUGGAACUUCCUGGACGUCCAUUCGCUUUCUGACCUUUCCUGCCCAUGCUUCAGACGGAGCAACCCAUUCUUCAUGGCCUUCCAGGCUGUCACGUCUGUUGUUCGCCGUCCGUGGACACCAAAGUGGAGAGCUGGCUCUCCUUGAAACAGCUUGAGAAAAAUUCCAAUGUGGCUCCCGGUUCUGACCUCCCGAGGACUUUCGGACAGAGCAAAUACAUCUCUGCAAAGUCAGAUGUUUAAGGCGAAGGCUAAAACGAAGUCCGAGCUUUUACUUUAGACUUUGCCCGUCAGCCUGCCGUCUUCCCAGGCUUACUUCCCGCCUCCCCUCUGUCUUAACCAGAUCACACCAGGCUCUCUCGGUUCCUGCUGCUUUCCCGAAUCCUCAUCCCUGAAGUCUCAGCGCACCUGUCCUGUCACCUCCAUGAAACUCCUGCAUCACCCUGUUUGGACGUAAUCUGAGCUCGCUGGGCUCUUCCUACCUCACGGGGCUUUUCUUCUGCUCUUGUGAUGGUCCGUGUGUGAAGCAAGACCCAUACGAAAAGGAUCCUGUGUAGGAGGCUUGGCCGUGGUUGAGGGCGCCGUUGAAGAUGAUUGAAUGUUAAGUGUGUUAACCUCUCCUGGCUUUUAGAUGAGGCCUAUAGGUUGCCGGGAGCAUCAAUUUGGAAGGUAUCUUUUUUUUUCUUUUAACUUUUUAUUGAUUUUUUUAUGAGUUUUACAUUAUGCACCCCAGUUCUUCUCAGCCCCCUGUCCCUUCAUAUCCACCCUUCGUCCUUGCAACCCCCCCCAAAAAAUAAAAAAUGCACAAAUAAGCAAACAACAACAACAAAAAAUAAGCAAAAAAAACCCAAAGCACAGAAAGCCUCUCAUCACGGAAGCUGGAGGGUGUCCCAGAAUAUAUAUCCCUCUGUUCGUUGCGCUGAGUCAUUGUUCUGGUUAGAGAUCUCUGGCUUCUGUGACACCAUCAAUAUUGGAUCCUCACCGGGCCUCCUCCCAGUUAUCCUGUGUUGGCCUGUGUCAUAGAGAUCUGGCAGCUUUGGAUCAGCAGUCCUGGCCUUUGCAUGUGUCCCAACCAUCCAUAGAUAACGGAUUUUUGGAGUCGGCUUCGCUGUGCUGCCCAGUCAAGGUGUGAGGCCCACUCUCCCUAGUGCUUCACCCAGUGAGAGAAAGAGCCAACUCACCCUUCCUCAUGAUCCCAGCCCAUGCCACCUCAUGGCAGACGAGGGCCAGCUCUCCUUCACUUUUUCCCAGCUCACCUGAGCCACCUCCACUAGGGUGAGCUCUACUGUGCUGCACAGGUGAGGUGUAGGGCCAGCUCACCCACUCUCAUGACCCCAGGGUCAGCUCUCCUAUACUCAUGGGGAGGGGUAUUGACUCACACCUCCAUCACCAGGGUCAGCUGUGUUGUCUGGGUGAGGUGCAGGGCCCAGUGCCACCUGUGACAGGUAGGCCCAACUCUCCAGAGCACAACAGCCAGUGAGAAGCAGGGCCAGCUCUGCAUGGGUCCACCUGGACGUCCACCUGGGCCACAGCAGCUGCCCCAACCGGGGAUGUCCCUAUGUUCCCUAGUGGUAAUAUGAACCACGGACAUCAACACCAACUUCUGCUUCUGUGUAGCCCCAGACCCAGACAUGGCCCUCAGUGGCAACUCAGGCUGGGGCCUCAUCAUGACCCCAGGUGGUAGGACUGGCCACUUACAACGGGCUGCUCCUCUCUCCCCUCGAGUCUCCAUUUUCCUUCCUCUUCCACCUGUCCACCACAUAUUGCACAUUGUGGUGGCUCCCACUGCAGGCUGACCACAAAGCUGACUCCCUGUGGUGAGCCCCCGGGUGACAUCCUCUGGCAAGCAGGUAUCUACAGCUCUCUGUGCCAUGUACUGGAGGGUAGGUCUGUGGGUGGCAUGGCCGUCAGCAGGUCUCUGUCUGUCUUCCUCCUCCCAUGCUGCACUGCCUGGAUUUGACUUGAUAUUUUUUAUAUGUCCUAGGCAUAAAACAGCUUUGGCCACCUUCCUUGAAAUCAAACUAUACUAAACAAAGAACUGCCAUCCACUCUGCCCCUAACAACACUACUGACAAGUGUUCUGCCUCGCUCCGGUCCCACCACGAUGGAGUCAGCCUUCAAUAAACAAAAACCUUCAAGUCAUGGGCCCAAAUACAUCUCUCCCCCACCCCACGACGGCAUCCAUCUCAGAUGCUUUCAGGAGUGAUGUAAAGUGACCAACUCGCUGUCUUAUUCUACAGGCUCUCAUAAAACCCGUCUCCCGGACCGACAAUAAAUUAUCUGUAGUAAGACCUCG